AUUGAACGCUGGCGGCAGGCUUAACACAUGCAAGUCGAGCGGAGAUGAGGUGCUUGCACCUUAUCUUAGCGGCGGACGGGUGAGUAAUGCUUAGGAAUCUGCCUAUUAGUGGGGGACAACAUUCCGAAAGGAAUGCUAAUACCGCAUACGUCCUACGGGAGAAAGCAGGGGAUCUUCGGACCUUGCGCUAAUAGAUGAGCAUAAGUCGGAUUAGCUAGUUGGUGGGGUAAAGGCCGACCAAGGCGACGAUCUGUAGCGGGUCUGAGAGGAUGAUCCGCCACACUGGGACUGAGACACGGCCCAGACUCCUACGGGAGGCAGCAGUGGGGAAUAUUGGACAAUGGGGGGAACCCUGAUCCAGCCAUGCCGCGUGUGUGAAGAAGGCCUUAUGGUUGUAAAGCACUUUAAGCGAGGAGGAGGCUACUGAGACUAAUACUCUUGGAUAGUGGACGUUACUCGCAGAAUAAGCACCGGCUAACUCUGUGCCAGCCGCCGCGGUAA
rnacentral:rRNA from 1 species